rnacentral:misc_RNA from 1 species
GAUGAAGAACGCAGCGAAAUGCGAUACUUGGUGUGAAUUGCAGAAUCCCGUGAACCAUCGAGUCUUUGAACGCAAGUUGCGCCCGAAGCCGUCAGGCCGAGGGCACGCCUGCCUGGGCGUCACACGCCGUUGCCCCCCCCGCGCCCCGCACCCAACUCUUUGGGAGCGACCGCGGGGCGGGCUGAUGAUGGCCUCCCGUGCGCUCCGCCGCGCGGUUGGCCCAAAUACCGAGUCCCCGGCGACGUGCGCCACGACGAUCGGUGGUUGAGAGACCUCUGUCGCAAGUCGUGCGCGCCCGUCGCGUCACGCGGGCUCGCAUAGCGCCUCGCGCCGCACCCGGUGCGGAGCUUUCAACGCGACCCCAGGUCAGGCGGGGUUACCCGCUGAAUUUAAGCAUAUCAAUAAGCGGAGGA